rnacentral:rRNA from 1 species
AUUGAACGCUGGCGGCAGGCCUAACACAUGCAAGUCGAGCGGAUGAAGGGAGCUUGCUCCUGGAUUCAGCGGCGGACGGGUGAGUAAUGCCUAGGAAUCUGCCUGCUAGUGGGGGAUAACGUCCGGAAACGGGCGCUAAUACCGCAUACGUCCUGAGGGAGAAAGUGGGGGAUCUUCGGACCUCACGCUAUCAGAUGAGCCUAGGUCGGAUUAGCUAGUUGGUGGGGUAAAGGCCUACCAAGGCGACGAUCCGUAACUGGUCUGAGAGGAUGAACAGUCACACUGGAACUGAGACACGGUCCAGACUCCUACGGGAGGCCACAGUGGGGAAUAUUGGACGAUGGACGAAAGCCUGAUCCAGCCAUGCCGCGUGUGUGAAGAAGGUCUUCGGAUUGUAAAGCACUUUAAGUUGGGAGGAAGGGCAGUAAGUUAAUACCUUGCUGUUUUGACGUUACCAACAGAAUAAGCACCGGCUAACUUCGUG